rnacentral:misc_RNA from 1 species
UCUCCGUUGGUGAACCAGCGGAGGGAUCAUUACCGUGUUUACAACUCCCAAACCCAAUGUGAGCCAUACCAAACUGUUGCCUCGGCGGGGUCACGCCCCGGGUGCGUCGCAGCCCCGGAACCAGGCGCCCGCCGGAGGGACCAACCAAACUCUUUCUGUAGUCCCCUCGCGGACGUUAUUUCUUACAGCUCUGAGCAAAAAUUCAAAAUGAAUCAAAACUUUCAACAACGGAUCUCUUGGUUCUGGCAUCGAUGAAGAACGCGC